rnacentral:rRNA from 1 species
CAGCCGCCGCGGUAAUACGUAGGGGGCAAGCGUUGUCCGGAUUUAUUGGGCGUAAAGCGAGCGCAGGCGGUUAGAAAAGUCUGAAGUGAAAGGCAGUGGCUCAACCAUUGUAGGCUUUGGAAACUGUUUAACUUGAGUGCAGAAGGGGAGAGUGGAAUUCCAUGUGUAGCGGUGAAAUGCGUAGAUAUAUGGAGGAACACCAGUGGCGAAGGCGACUCUCUGGUCUGUAACUGACGCUGAGGAGCGAAAGCGUGGGGAGCGAACAGGAUUAGAUGCCCCGGUAGUCUCUGUCUCUUAUACC